rnacentral:rRNA from 1 species
CUUACACAUGCAGUCGACGAUGAUCCCUAGCUUGCUGGGGGGAUUAGUGGCGAACGCGGUGAGUAACACGUGAGUAACCUGCCCUUGACUCUGGGAUAGGCCUGGGAAACUGGGUCUAAUACUGGAUACGACCUUCUGGCGCAUGCCAUGUGGGUGGAAAGCUUUUGUGGUUUUGGAUGGACUCGCGGCCUAUCAGCUUGUUGGUGGGGUAAUGGCCUACCAAGGCGACGACGGGUAGCCGGCCUGAGAGGGUGGACGGCCACACUGGGACUGAGACACGGCCCAGACUCCUACGGGAGGCAGCAGUGGGGAAUAUUGCACAAUGGGCGCAAGCCUGAUGCAGCGACGCCGCGUGAGGGAUGAAGGCCUUCGGGUUGUAAACCUCUUUCAGUAGGGAAGAAGCGAAAGUGACGGUACCUGCAGAAGAAGCGCCGGCUAACUACGUGCCAGCAGCCGCGGUAAUACGUAGGGCGCAAGCGUUAUCCGGAAUUAUUGGGCGUAAAGAGCUCGUAGGCGGUUUGUCGCGUCUGCCGUGAAAGUCCGGGGCUUAACUCCGGAUCUGCGGUGGGUACGGGCAGACUUGAGUGAUGUAGGGGAGACUGGAAUUCCUGGUGUAG